GGAGUCCCGCCUCCUUCUAGUAAGCAGCUCACCUGUGUUUCUGUGUUUAGUGUCCGGAUGUGGAGUGGAGCUUGUUGUUGGUAUUUGUGUUUGAAGAAACUGUGAAGGUAGAAAGUGUGUGUGAGCUGAUGUGGAUGUGAAUUCAGCAGCAUGGAUCGGUGUGAGGACAGAGAGGAGGGAGUCCCUCCCUCUAAACCCACUCUGUUUGGGGAAAAUGAGAGCCAGACCAAAGCUCAGAGGAAAAGACGGAAACGUGGGAGAAAACAUAAACAUGGAAAAGAACCUGAUGCCACCUGUGUGUCAUUAAAGAGCGACCCCAUUCAUUUUAAAGCCCAGCAGUUGUCUGCUGCAGAGAGGUGAGCUGUUAGUAACAUGAACUCUUUGAGACCUGACUUAAUUGAUUGAUGUUGUUGGAUAUUAACUGCAUUGCAAACAGGUCAUUCCCUCAAUCUCAUUUAAACUGUCUCUUAAAAACAAGCCUUUGGUUUUAAACAACUGAAAACCCACGAUCAGUAAUUUUAAAUUAAAUGAGUUCCAGCAGAAGAUGUAUACAUUUCUCAGUAAUAACGGUUUUGAAAUUAAAAGACAGUUGCUGCUCCAUAGUUUAUUAAUUGAUAGAGAUCUAGAGUUUGAUAGUUUGAUAGAGAGAGAGAGAUUAUAUACAGUGGGGAAAACAAGUAUUUAGUCAGCCACCAGUUGUGCAAGUUCUCCCACUGAAAAUGUUGAGAGAGCCCUGUAAUUUUCAUCACCUUAACUAUGAGAGACAAAAUCCUGAAAAUCACAUGGUCUGAUUUUUAAAGAAUUUAUUUGCAAAUUAUGGUGGAAAAUAA